UUUCAUAAAACUUUUGACUUGCAACUGUAACAUCUCCCAUAUCUAUGGCAAAUCUUGUUAUUGCAAUGACAACUUGUCAUAGUUGCAAAUAUCCGUUUCAUAAAAGCAAUGACAAAUUGUUAUCGUAAAUAAAAAUAAUUAAAUGAAAAAUAGUUCGUGAACGAGCCUGAUAUGCAGCUAACAGCCGGUUUUUUUCUUCACACACGUCGUCUGCGAGAAAAUUUUGAUGGUGACAGAAUUUACGGAAAAUUUGAAUCGGAGAUAUGGAGACCAGCAGCGUGGCAGCAGGAGCAAAUUUUGGCCGUGAUGAGGCGUAUACCACCAUCAACAAUGCUGCAAUUGCAGUCACUACCACCACUGCUGCCACCACUAUCAGUGCUGCUGAUGCCACCACCACCAAGUCUGCCACUGCCAUCACCAUUGCCACCACCACUAUCAAGCCACUCCUGACACAAAGCCCCCAAGUCCUCAACUGACCAGAUAUUGCAGCUGGAGAAGGAUAGACCAGGAACUUCAAAGCCAGGGCUUUUUGGUCUCCUACAAUAAGAAAAAUGCCAAGGGCCCAUCUAAUGAACUUGUAGAAUAUUUGGCCACAGUUGUAGAAAUGCAGAGACUAACAUACUGCCACAGGUGAGGCUUUGUCCGCAGUUCCGGAAAGACAAGCCAUGCCAAAAUCAACGACUGAAGGGUUUGGAGCGCCAGGCAAAGAGCCUAGAAAUGUGAUUUAACCGUACUUCAAUCACAUGAACAGUAGCAGGAGCAAAAACAGCAGCAAACACACAGGAGAUGUAAUGACUACAUUGACCAAUACCAACAACUACAGCAGCAUCAACAAUAUCUGCAAAAACCACACUGGCAACCUCAACAACAUCAAGAUGUUCAACAACCACCUCGGGAAUUCAACAAACACAUCAGCAGAAACCAACAGCAGCAAAAACAGCACUUAUGAAAUGAAUCUUAUUGAAACUCAAAAGCCAAUGGCGCAACAUCUUUUACAAAAUGAGACAUCAUUUAUUCAUUCUUUUACAGGAUAAAGAAAAGCUUUUUUGAAAGAGUAAUUUUGCAGGAACACAAUGGAUGUUCCUAUGUAUCUAUUUAUUGAAAUAAAUUUUACUUUAAAAAGAAAGAAUGAUGAUUCAAUAAAUAUCUACUUUUUAUUUGUCAAUGAGUAAAAAUACCUGUAUUUUCUAUUUAGAAUGACAAAAAGCAAUUUAUCAAAUCAAAAUCAUCAAAAAAUUGAGCAAUAUGGCUGUUAGGCCCUCCAAAUUGUUGAUAUUUUGAUGAAAAAGCUGUUUCUGCUGCAAUAUUUGAUGCAACUCAAAUAGUUGCGUCAAAUAUUGUGGCAGAAAUUGUCAUUUGCCGCUGAAAGUAUCUGCGGCAAAUAUUUGACGCAGCUCAAAUAGCUGCGUCAAAUAUUGCCGCAGAAAUUGUCAUUUGCCGCUGAAAGUAUCUGCGGCAAAGUUUUAUGAAACGGAAACUUGCCGCUGUUUUGAGAUUUGCCGCAGAAACACAGAUUUGCCGCUGAAAAUGGGAGUUGCCGCUGCGGCAAAUGUUUUAUGAAACGGGCCCCUGGACU
rnacentral:lncRNA from 1 species